rnacentral:rRNA from 1 species
UCCGAUUCUCAGCUCAGGCGAGACGACCCGCUGAAUUUAAGCCUAUUGCUAAGCGGAGGAAAAGAAACUACCAG